rnacentral:rRNA from 1 species
UACGAAGGGGGCUAGCGUUGCUCGGAAUUACUGGGCGUAAAGGGCGCGUAGGCGGCCUGCUAAGUCGAACGUGAAAUCCCUGGGCUCAACCCAGGAACUGCGUCCGAUACUGGUUGGCUUGAAUCCGGGAGAGGGAUGUGGAAUUCCAGGUGUAGCGGUGAAAUGCGUAGAUAUCUGGAGGAACACCGGUGGCGAAGGCGACAUCCUGGACCGGCAUUGACGCUGAGGCGCGAAAGCCAGGGGAGCAAACGGG